GUUCAUUUUGUAAUCGGAAGGCCAUUUUUUACUCAUUCCUUUCUACGAAGCCUGUUAAGCCCGAUUUUUGGUUCUUUGCCUAUUUACUUGUAUUGCGCACGGCAUUCUGUUGUUCUGCCGUUGAUUUUCAGUUUUUUUUUUUAAAUUACAACAUAGUUAGUAAUAUCACAUGGUGCACGGAUGCUUGGAUUAAAGCGAAUCGUAUGAAAUUUGUUGCAGUUUGGUGAUUGAUUUAUUUGAUUUAUUUUGUAUAUCUAUGUGUGGUUCAUGUGAUUGACUUUGAACUCUAUACACUAUGGAUGUUAAAUUUUGUAAGAAAACAUCAUACCUAAAUGGAAAAGUAUUUUUCUAGUGGCUAACCUACAAAUGUAUUAAUAUGGGAGUCAUUACUAUGGCAGUUUAAUUGUUGAUGGCAACAUAUUUAUUUGUUAACCCUUCUAAAAAUAUAGGAGUCAUUACAUGGCAGCUUAUGGUUGAAUGUUUCCUGACAGACAAGAACCUGCUCUGAGUUUCAGUUACUGAAUAGCAUUUAAAUGGAGAAAAAGAAAUUAGUGGAGACGUGAUGUUCUCGAUGCUACAUCAACGGGAUGAUUAAUCACUUGCAAGAAAUUAAUGCCGAUGCGAAGCUAGCUGAGACUGACACUAUUGGGUUUGGCUUUGUAAAGAAGAUUUCUCACUGGGCAGUGAAGCAGAAGAUAAUAAUUCAACUGGCCAGGGUUUAUGAUGUGGAGACAGACACACUUAUAGUGGAUGUCAGGAAAAUCCGAGUUAAUACUGAGUUAAUAUGGAGGGCGUUAGGGAUACCCUCCAGUGGUGUUGACAUUCCAAAAAUAGAAAAAAAGAAUCCGGCUCACCGGGAAAUCAAAGAGUAAUUUAAAAAGAAGACAACCACUCAGCUGUGCGACUUCGUUUAUGCCUGCCCUAUGGACACAGAAGCGGAUAGGAUGAAUUUUAGAAGGUACUUCAUAUUGGUGGUCUUAAAGAUGUUCCUUUGUCCAACCAGCCAACAAACCAUUUCUCCAUGGCACAUACCUCCAAUUCUUGAUGUCUCAGAUCGCAGCAAAUUUAACUGGGCACAUAAGACAUUCAAGUGGCUGGGGAAAGCGAUUGAAACACACCAAAAUAAGAAGCUUGAAACUUGUGGCGGCUACAUGUUUGCCCUGAUGCUCUUGUACUUUCAGCGGCUAAGGCAUGAUUCACUAGAGCGUUGUCGAGAACCAAAGCCAUGGUUGACUGCAUGGACUGCAUCAGAACUUGAAAAAAAGGCAACCAAUGCCAUUGAUUAGGUACUAAGAUGGAUGAUAUGUUCUCUGUUAUAUUCUAAUCCAACUGAAACAGUCAGAAUUUUCUAUUCCGGGAUUUCGGAUGAUUGUUUCGUAACCUCAGUUGACCCUUUGAUGUUAGGGUCCCAUUGGAAAGAGGGCAAAAGUUCGUGAGGAGCCAAAUUUCGAACCAGGAAAAAGGGAGUAGAAUCCGCCUCUAAAAAAAAGAGCGGAAAGAGAGAAUGCAGGACUAGAGCAGUUCAGAAGGUAAUGUAUCUGUUGAAAUUCUCGCUGAAUG